AUGAUACUGCUGGUGAGGGAGACGAGGAUAGAACUGUGGAAGACAUCAGUGGGGAAUAAAGUGUAGUUGGUGGUAGUUGUAAGCACGUCAGAGCUGGAGAGUGGUUUCUGGGAGAGGCACUAAAAUAAGAGAGAAAAUGGCCUUAGGAGGAGCCUUCCUUCAGGGGCGACUGAACGGGGGCAGACGUGCAGUCUCUGAAUCGAGAGAAAAACGACGCUAGGUCAGAAUCUAGAGACUGAAGAGUCCGCGAACAGAGGUCUCGCCUCAGGCGAGUGAAGCAACCCGACUGAAGUCCGCCAGAUCGAAACGGCCUCUUUGACUCAUUGUCCCUCCACCUCCGACCGCCCUUUUUGUCAUUUUCCCUUCAGUGUCGCUCACCACAGAUUGCUGUCUCCAGUAAGACGCCCAGCUCAAUUGUGCACCUCAGGAACUCUACGCGCCACAAAUUCAAGUAAGAGGCUUGGAAUCUCGCCGCCCCAAACGUCUCCUAGAGUGAAGGAGAGACGGGCCAAUCAAAGGCAAACUGGCUCCAGAUGCCCAAAUCGGUGGGCGUGGCGAAGGAAUGCUGGAGGGACGUUACUGAGUUGCUAAGACGACGGCUUCCGGGUGGGCGGGCCGAGGUGACUUCUGGCCGGAAGACGAGACUCCGCGGGAAAAGCUGCCCCGCUAGGUGGACGAGGAGCUGUCGGGGUGAGGCAGUUUCCUCAAGAGUAACGGCGGGCCUGUGCUAGGGUCACACCACCGGCCUUCGUUUCCUUUACCCUUCUCUCUAACCAAACGAUAUUCCUGCCCACUUACAAAGUGCAAGUUGUUUCCCUAAGCUUACAAUCUGAAGGUGUCCGUUCCUACACUGGUCAGACCACUGUCCUUGGGGCAGCUGGGGUCUUUGGGACCCUCCACCGGGCUCGCCGGUCCGUCGGACUUUUGGCUGAGAUCCGUGUCAGACUCCUCCGAAUAGUCGUCUGUUGGCAUCGAGGGCUGAACCCCUGAGGUGCUGCAUGAACUUGAGAGCGCGCUCUCGCACGCCAGGCAGUGGUACGAGCCGCCGCCGCCACCGCCGCCACCGCUGCCGCCGCCACUGCCGCCGCCGCCCGUGGGGACGUGAAGCACCAUCUCUUGCAGGUUCACCACAGACUGGCCGAAGAAGCAGAGGGACUUCAGGGUGAUGGAAGACAACACUGCUACUGGUACAUCAAGGUGGUGGUAGAAGAGGACAGCAUUGUGAGGAAGGGAGACCAGGUGUGCUGAAUGAGGAGAUGCUGAGAAGAAUUCACAGGCAGUGAACCUCAGAUCAUUACAUUCAGCACACUUCAGAAACUAGACGGUAUUCAUCCCUUUGCUUCAGAGCGUACCACAGGUAAAAUUAAACCCACAGCUCCUCACUAUUUCAUCUGGACCAACCUAGGAUUGGGUGUUCUAUAGCACAACAUGGGCCUUGUAAGAAAAAAACACACGGAAGUGCACACCUGGGUGAAGACGAUGUUGACUUCACAGUGGGGCAGCAUGUAAAAACUCUCAAAUUUCAGACGAAGAGGACACGGUUGCCUCAAGCUGUCAAUCCCAGAAAAAGAUCCAUUAAUGUUUGGAAAGCCAAGGAAGAUGCUUCCCUCAGCUUUGUGGAAUAGCAUUAAUCUGUUCUUUCAGAACAGCAGAAAGGGACGACUGAAAUUAAGUCAUCCAGUUUCCUCAAUGCACAGAAGGGACUGAAACCAGAGAGAUAUGUGUGACUCAGAAAAACCCUGUAAAGGUUCACUGGUUAAACUGGCACAAACAAGAUGGAGAGCAAAUGGAUUAUGAAGUCGACAACUUAGGACGCAGCUCUUUCUGUCUACUUACAGGCAACAGGCCUGCUCCAAGUUUUAGGUUGGAGUCAGAGCCAAAAGAUCAGCAAGGCAAUGCAAAAACAGCUAGAGAUUUCCUAUCUCUAUGGCAUCAGGCUUUCAGGAGAAGGAUCCAGAUUCAGAACCAUAUUGCCCAAUACAGGAUUCCUGGCCAGUGCAUUCAAGUACAAAGGGAGUCUCAUUAGGAACUGAUAGAGCCACUGUCGUUCUGGCUAGAUAAGAAGACCAGGAGUAAGGAUCCAUAUAUAAGAGCUUCUUCCCGAUAGCAGUUCUGCCAGAACAGCUCUCUAAAAAUGGGCAGGAACCACAGGUAAGGAUAAGGACUUGAUUUAAAUUUUCUUGAACCAGUUUCCAAAGGGCACAAUUCAGAAUUAGCUAGGAUACUCAAAUGUCUUCUAUUUUCAACAAAUAUCUACAUGGCAGUGGCAUUUUCACAAAGACUGGAAGGAUUUAGGAUGAAAACCUCUUUCUUGAAAAUACCUCAGGAUUUAGGAUGCCAGGACCCUCAAGUUCUUCACUAUGGCACACACCCUGGUGGUGCUACUCAACACAGGAAAUAAGAAUGAUUUCAGAGAAGACUGUUCCUACCGGGGGGGUGGUUCCCAUCCCUGAGAUUGGGACAUCAUAGAACCAUGUACACCACAGCACUAGGGAGACUCAAUGAAGGGGACCAGAAGUUUUGUUGCUGUUAGAGAAGUAGAAAGGGAAGCUUUUUCCUAUCUGCCCAACAUUCUUAGGAUUUGGGUGGUAGCCACAGAACAAAAUACUAAUGGGGCAGCUAUUUAAUGCUGUAAGAAUCACCUAGAGCAGAACCCACCUGUGUUGGAUGGAGUAAAGCCCGGCAAAGAGGGGCUGUUGAGGCUGGGGAGCAACACAGGAGGAAUGCCCUGGAGCGUGGGAUAUGCUGUAGGAAGGUUGAGAGCCUGAAGAGGGGCAUUGUCAAACAUCCCUUGCUGCUGAGCUGCCAGUCCGAGGACCUCAUUGGCCUUUUUAAUCCGGUCCAACUCUUGUUGAGCCAUCAACUGACGUACAGUGGCUGGGUCAAAGUAUUCUUUCUCCUUGUCCAACUGGCUUCCAAUGGUGUCUUUAACUUUGGAGAUAUGCUGUUGGGAAAAGAUAUGGUCACGUACAGACAGCCUAGCGCUGUACUUGAUGCCACACAAAGUGCACUCUGUUUUCGGUCCCUCGUAACUUGUUUGGUUUAUACCAAAAUGCUUAGCCAUGCUUAACUUGGACUUCUUUUCUUUUGCCCGGGCAUUCUGGAACCAGACCUGAACAACUCUCUUUGGCAGUCCAAUAUCAUUGCCCAGGACCUCACACUCUAGCAUGGUGGGUGUCCUGUAGUCAUUAAAGCAUGACUUGAGGACUUUGAGCUGCAGAUUGGUCAUCUGAGUGCGAAAACGUUUCUGCCCUGGCCGAUCCCCACUGUCUCCAGAUUUGCCUGCUGACCCACUUGCACCAGGACUCGGGGAGCAGGGGUCUGCAAGGCUUGAGGUUUCACUAUAGUCCACUGUACCUUCAUUGUCAUAUUCCUUGCUGUAAAAGCUUGGGGCUGGACUGACCAGACCCGAUGACAACCGAUCUUCAUACUCAGACAUUGCCAUCAUGGCCGCUUUGGUCAACCCUUCAUUGGGUGCAGAGGAGGAUUUGGUUUCAGUUGCUAUUCCCGUUGCACUGUCAUUAUCUGCAUUGCCCUCGUCUCCUGUAGUGGUAUCUGUGAUUGCUGUGUUGACAGAGGAACAGUCGUCAUUGUCCAGCUUGGUUUGGUCAAAGUUUAGAUUAACUGAGGACAUGGAGGGGCUUUCAAAGUCUUCAAUCCCUUCCACCUUGAUGGAAGAAGGGCUAAGAAGAGUUCUGGGAGAUAACUCCAUGGUUUUACUCACAGGGCUUGCACUGGCCUUUUCCUCCAGCUUCCUCUUCAGAGUGUUCAUUGUGGAGGUCGGAGUUGAAGGAGAAGUGGCCGAGCUGGCUGGAAUCUGAGGUAUGGCCCCAGAGAGCAGCUGGCUUGCCAGGAGUGGGUUACUAGGGUCAAACAGCAUGAAAGGCAUAUCCAGUGACCUGUCCAAAAACUGGGGGUGGAUGAACUGAUUCUGUGCACUCAGAAAAUGAAGCUGCUGAUGCUCCUGCCAGUGCUCAAAUGAUGGAAAUGCCAACUUACAUUGGUCACACUGGUAGGGGAUUAGCUGAGGAGGUAGGUUUGCCAACUGUUGAGGAGUCGACGUGUGGAGGGGCUUGAGGGGCAGGUGGGAGAGCUGGGAAGGACUGGGGCUUGACUGGGGUAAGGGGCACUGAGGUGGGGGUGCUUGUGGAGGAGGCUGUGGCAACGCAGCAGGGGAAGUGAGCUGUGGGAGCUUUUGCUGGGCUGUGUUUGUCUUCUGCUCAGGCUGGUCUUGCUGCUGCAGCUCUGCCUUUGGUUGUCCUUGCUUUUCUUGGGUUUGGUUUGGCUGUGCACUGGGAGGUUCAGCCUGCUUUGGUUUCUCAUCACUCGCCUCUGUUUUUGAACUAAAAGUGGCCAGUUCGUCAGCCUCUGCCGUGAGCUGUAAGAAAGCAGAGGAAGCUGUGUUGGCCGAUGAUGCUGGGGCGCUGUAUGCCUGUGAGGGCAUUGGGGUGCUGCAGGAGGAGCUGGUGGGUGUCAGGAUUUCCAUGGCAUCCAUGGAAUCCUCAUUUUGGCUGUCAUCCUGCCCCUCCUCAUCCUCAUCUUUGUAACACAGCUUCUUCUGAUGCUUGAUGAGAUCAAAGAUGCGCUGAAACACCAGGCUACAUUUUUUGCACUGGUAGUUCAAGUUGCUUGUUCGAAUAUACCUAUCGUUUGUAAGCUCGCGCCGCUCUCCAUCUUUGCCCUCCCCCUGAUUCUCAUAAUUUUUCCUGGCCUUCUGUCGGGCAUUUUGAAACCACACCACUAUGACUCGGGUUGGAAGGUUCAGUAAAUUAGAGAGUUGCUCAAAUUCAUCAUCCUUUGGGUAAGCAUUGGCAUCAAAGAAAUCCUGUAGGACUCUCAGUUGGUAAUCUGUAAACCUUGUUCUUGACGACCUCUUGCUUCCCCAGUACUCCUGCUUCUGCGGUUCCGGAGAAGGGGGCCGGGAGUCAAUCUUGAGCUCCUCCAGGCUGGUGAUAGGAGGAUUGCUAAAGUUGUAAGGGGAAUCCUUGUUACGCUGCCGCUCUUUGAAGAGGGUGUUUCUGAACCAGUGCUUGAUCACCUUCUGGGGCAACCCAGACUUGUCUGCCAUUUCUUUGAUCUGCUCUUCACUGGGGGAGUUGUUAAUGUCAAAAUACUGUCGCAGGACCCGGAGCUGGUCAUCUGUGAUUCUGGUGCGAGGCCUCUUGUUCUGUUGCUGGAGCAGGCUUGGAUUGAGCUGAUGCUGGUACAGCUGGGCCAGGUCUGCAGGCAGAGGCUCCACAGGUCCAAGUUGAGGGGGAAGCUGAGCUGGCAAGGUCUGCAGUGGCAUCGUCUGCAUCAUCAGCGGGGAGAAGAUGGGCAGCUCCAUGGGCAUGGAGAGCUGGGGGUUAAAAAUGACACUAACCAGGCUGCUUUCCUGCCUCCUCCAGAUUGGAGUUCCCGUCUCGAUCUGGAACAGCUGCUGGGAGGAACAUGCUGCUGGGCAUCACCAUCUCAGGGGUGGUCACCUGAGAAAUAAGAGGCAGAGAAAUGAGGAGAGUCAAAUGGAGAGGAAAGAGACACAAAACAGGGAAAUGUGUAAAAAUUAUUUAAUAAGCAAAAUUAGCCUUCACCAGUGUAAAGCUGGAAGUGUCACUUUUCAUAGCUCACUGAAGAUUCAUGUUUAUUAGACAAAGCUCACAUCAGUCAAAAGUGUUUCUACGGUUACAUUCUGGACAUAAUUAGCAGUGCACACUUGAAGAAUAAUCUUAUUAUUAAUAUUUUUCCUUUAUGCAGAAUUUUGACUUUGAUCACUGACAAUGUUUUGUCAUGGGCUGUGAAACUUCUUGUGCAACCAAUUAGGUAGAUAAGUUGAAAGGCCCACCUUAAGCUGCUGAAAACAUAAUAAGGGCCCUAAUUAAAUCAUACCUAGUAAAGUACACUGUAAUCUUGAAGCAGGGAGCAUUGUAGUACUGUUUUCAAAAUGUAUUCAGGCAAGAAGAGGAGGGGAAUGAGAGCGAAGGAAAGGGUAAGAAGAAGAGAACAGAACAAAGAGAAGGCUAAGGACACGCAGACACAUUGGCAGAUCCUCCAGGAAACAUUUUGUAACCCUUUAGAAGCUAGAUCAAGUGCAAACGAGCAUUUCUUAUGACUCACUUCAGCCAGGAUUUCCUUUGGAGUCUUUGCUCGAGGUACUCAGAAUCAUUGGGAAGCUCUGGCCAGUGUCCCAGCCACACAGGGUGCCUUGCACAGCAUUCUAUACCAGGGCUGCACCACCUUGACCGUGGCUAUUGUUUACUAAUAUAGCAAUUGCAGAAUCAGCCUGGAUCAAAAGAGCUGUAAUUUUAGAUCAGAUCCUCAGACACUUCUCUAGGCUUCUCUGCCAUCUGGCUGGAAGUUUGUCUACAUAAGUUAUCAUUUACCAGACAUUAAUGUGAUAAGCAGCCCUCAAAUCCAACGUAAGGAUAAAACGUUCUUGAUUUAAACAGAAUAUCCCUUUGCCUGCUACAGGGUGGAAAGGUAGUAGGCGAAGAUAUUGCUACAUGAAUUAGAAAUUAUUUCCUGUUUGAUGACAGCCUAAGAAAUGAGCUGAACAGAAACUGGAGUCACACCCCUAGCCUUUCUACAUGGCAUCCAGCCCUACCUGAAGGAGUUAUCUUCCCAUGAAACACAGGUAUCUCAGGAGCUUUACUUGCUGUUGCAAAGACUAGAACACCUAUAUUACUGUUCAAAAUUAAAUAUUUUAAAUAAAUUAUUAAUUUUUUAACGGUUUAAAGAUCCUGGCCUUGCUCAAAAUAGCUGCUGACAUGUUCCCUAGAAACAUCGUGACAGGCUCCAGUCCUAGGGGAAACCCACACAACGGUCCCCAUAAACACCAAAAAGGGAACACCUCAGUACCUUUCGGGGUAUUAGAAUAAUUUCAGCAGUUCAGAUGCUGAUAAGGUGCAGAAAUUAAGCAACAGGCGCUACAGAGAAGGGUUCUGAGAAAGCUCACGUUUAUGAAGAGCAGGUGCAAGGCAGGUGAAUGUGCAUGACACAGAAUUCCUGCUCCUAGACAUCUGCACCCUCACACAAAGCUCGUCGGCAGCUGGUUAAGGCUAGCUGUUGAUGAAUCGUUAGGAAUGGAGCAGAGAUUGCCAAACUCAUUCCAUCUAUUUUCUUUUUAAUAGAAAGCAUUUCUGACCAGUGUGGUUGGGGAGUCCAGCGGGAAUCCAAGAAGUGAAAGGUCACCGAUUAAUUUAUAGUCUUCAGCUAAGGGGGAGCACGAGGUUGGGGGCAAGAGGGGGAGAAAGGGAAAGGAAAAAAGACUCCCCCCCACCUCCUUUCUCGGUUGUAGCUGCAGGAUCAGUCCUUUCCAGGGAUCUUUAGGAAUUAUGAAAAAUGAAUCAUGAGAAAUAAAAAAAAAAAGCCCUACAGAGUAAAAAAGAAUAAAAUUAUCUAACACCUCAGCUGCACAUCAUUAUAGAAAACUGUGGGCUUUUUAUACGCAUUACAGUAAGGCAGACAUCCCCUCUAACAGACUCAGUACGACGGAUCAGUAAUUGUUUUCAUACACUUUAAUUAGAAAAACUCAGAUGGCUAUGAAUAAUAAUGGAAAAGAGAGACUUUUGCACUUGAAAGGUUGAAGUCAAUCAAGUGUGAAUGACGGCAAAAAAGAAAAAAAAAAAGACACCAAUUCAUCAGCCCUCUGUUGUCUCGCCGCGACUUUAAUCAUAAUUCCUGAUUGGGAUUCAAGAAGGCAGUAAGCAGAGGUUCUUUGUCUGCCUUCACCUUCCAUCAAUUAACUCUUCCCGAAAUAUAAUCAUCAACCUCACAUGCUCCUCUGCAUCUUAAUCUGGGCCUCGAAACCUGUAAGUCUUGCCCCAUAUGUGUUUAAGUAAUUACUUUUAUCUACCUGCAUCUUCUCAUCUGUAGGGUCCUCAAAUUCUCUGGGGGGAAAAAAAGAUUUGGUAUAUAAAAUUUUGAUGGGCAAGAAAUUCCCAGGAGGCAAAGAGGAAUCUCCCUAAAGGGAAUCCUGAGGAUCUAGGAAGUCUGGUGAGGUGUAUCUGCACAUAUGUCUCAACACAGAGAUGGAAAAUGGAAGCCUCCUUCCUGCACAGGCUACUGGAGGGCCCCAAGGCAGCCCUCAGACACUAAAGUUUCUGUGCCUUUGUUCACUUGUCCCUCUCCUCCUACUUUCCAGAGCUUCUCACUCAAACUCUGCAUGCUUUUUUUGUAAAGAGCCAUAAAUACAGUCCUGCCAACAGCUCACUGAGGAAAAGGAGAGUUGGCCAAAGGCAGAGUUCCUUCGACAUCUCCCUUGGCAUCCCCCUCACCCCCUUGUUUUCUGGUCCUAUAUGACUACCAAGUGGUGUGGAAGGUUCAGACUCUCCUAGCCACACCUCUGAUGGGUAGCUGAAAGUCACUGGGAAAGGCAGUCCCUCAGGUGUGCUGAGCACUGUUCUGUGAAGACCUUCCCUUUCGCUAGGUGCACUGGAGCAUGCAGGUGUGUGAGAGGACACAACCUGACUGCAGCAUAACCAGAACCAUCCCAGAUGUGCCCAAACCUCAGACACCCUCAAAUAACAGGAUGGCACCACCUUCCCCUGCAGAGAAAACACAUGCAUGCAUAUGCUCUCUUUCCUCCCUCCAAUCUCCCUCUUCCUACUUCUACUCCAGAUUCAAAAGCCAAACGAAAAGUUUCAGGUUUGGCCAGAUGACAACACAAUUGGUACAAACAACUAUACUUUCUCCAUGUCACUAUUCCAUCCAUGUAGAUUGAUUUUUCUCAUAAUCUAUACAUCCAUCAACACUGAGUAUGUUAAAUUAUGUCCCAAAUACUCUAUGUAUACAGGGGACCAGAGACUAUUAAAACAGACUUUUUUUUUUUAGGUUAUAGUAUUUCACUGAUAGAUUUUGUGUGUGUUUGUGUUUAAAUAAUUUACUGUCAACUUAGCUAACAUACUUUUAGUCUGGCCUUGGCCAUGCAACAGGCAAUUCCAUGGUAAUCUUCUAGAUACCACAUAUGUUCCUGAGAGUCUUCAGAGUUGAUGGGAAUGCAGGAAAAAAUCACCUUUGGAACUGAGGUAGUGACAGAAAAGUGGCUGUGAAAUCUUCUUAAGAAAAUAGGUCUCAUAUAUACAAGAGAAAUAUGGAGUUCUGCUCUGAUGCCAGAAAUCUUGAAGUUGAGGCAAUUCUCAUAAACAACAAUAGAAAUAAAAGAGUUCCACACUGACACUGAAAGUCUUCAAGCUUAAGCAAUUUCAAAACAACUUAGUUGUUGAGAAAGAAGGGCCUCAAGUGACUCUGCUUACCCAUGCAUUUGACCAUCAUUCACUAGAUAUCGUACAGGGUCCCUGUAUUGCACGCCUGUUAAGAUAUGGUGAGACAAAGUCCCUGUGCCCAAGAAGCUCACAAGCCAGAAUAAAUAACCUUUCAGAGAUCAUAACCUUAGAAAAUCUGAGGAAGGCUGCAGAUGCCUAAAAACAUACUUUCACACAGAAACUAGUACAGAUAAUUUCAGGAAAUCACAGGCUCCCUAGAGAAAAAUCCAUGGACUCAAGUUAACUGUCCUUGAACUACCAGGAGAGGUGACAUGGAUUCAUAAAUACCUAGUUCCCACUUCUGUUUGGCUCAUCAUUGUUUCGGAUUAUGACUUGAUUCUUUUCAAAGCCCCAAGGACACUCCUUAUAAAACCCAGAGGGUUGGAUGUGGGUCUGGCUGCCACUAUGACAUUUGGGAGGGACCACCGGUGUUUAUUGUUUCUCGGUAGAAGAAGCUAGAGUUAUAAGGAGCUCUCUCGCUUCCUGCUUUCUCCAGAUCAUGGAUGUGGAAUGGCCAAAUAAAGCACCCUGAACAGCCAAGGGGUAUAUACCAUGCUAAGUUCUCAUGGGACUAUCCAUGCAAAUUUACCACUCAAGGCCACCUUGUCUGACUUAGACCGAUACAACCAACAUGUUCCACACGCUGGAAAGCAAAGAUACUAUCCCUACACCCUUGCCAUUGCUCACCUAAGUAGGGGAUCUUUCUAAAAGGUUCACUACUCCAAGUGAAAAAAUACGUUUGACAAAACCUAGACUCCUAAGGAACCCUCAAAUCUUUUACUUUUCAGUAAAAAUCAUUAGAAUGAACCACCUCAGAUAAGAGAAGACGGGAAAGCCUCAGACACAGGCAUUCCUGAUGCAGACCUGGCCAGUCUCCGCAUCCUUGUAAGUAAGGAACUGCUUCUGUUAAUACUGAAGUUCAAACCCAGAUGCUUCGGGAGCUCAGCAUUCUAGCUAGUGGUAUGUCUGCAGGCUGCAGUGGGACUCAGGCUGCUCACUGCUCCUGCACCGGCCACCACGGGAGCCUGUCCACUGGUCUCUGCACUUCUGCAGCCAGCAAUCCAGAGCACCUCCUGGCAGCAGGGCUUCAGAAUUGUUCUUCUUUCCUUUACUCCCUCCCAAAUGUGCCAGGCUGGGCACUGGCCCACAGAGGCUAGAGGGCCUGCUUUCUCUCUCUUUCUUGUUUCCUUUCUAAAUUGUUUUCUAUGUGGUUGUCUAUCUUUGUGUGUGCGUGUGUGUGUGUGUGUGUGUGUGAACCUAAAACUCAUGAGGAAAAACUGUAGGGCCAUGUUCACAUUCAUGUGGGCCAGAAAAUAACAUAGCCCUAACCAGAGUUUAAAAACUAAGAAUAAGAAAGACAAAAAUAAAAAGGUGACUGGAAGAACAGGAAACACAGGAAUAGUUAACACACACACAGGGUGACAGAAAAGAAAGUUGAGAAGGAGAAUGGAUUGGAGAGAAAAGCUUCAUUAGACUCAGAGAGGCAAGCAGUGGCAGUAUACCAAGGUCACUUCUAAUUUAGACCAUCUAAUUGGCAAACAGGCUCCAAAUGGCUAUCAUCUCACAGGGCUUGGAAUUAAUGAAGCCCGAUUAUUUUCAUUACCUUCCUCUGAGAUAGAGACAAAGUGAGAGAGCUGGUACCCAAGCAGGUGCAAAAGCCCCAGGGCUAGUGGCCACCCGCCGCCCCAGUUGGGGGGGGCAGACAGCAAGCCUGUCCCAGAGGCCCAUAGAUGCACAGGGAGACAGACAAUGACUGAAAGAAGUCACAGUACACAAACUAUUGCUCCUGAGUGGGGGGUGCAGAGGGCAGGGGAGGCAGGAAGGGAGGAGAGAGAAAAAUGGGGUGCAGGGCCAGGAGCAGAGAAGGGAAACCUGUGCACAAACAGAAAAUACUGGAUAACUAAGAACUACCAAAGGGAGAUAAGAUGAAGAGCUAGAGAAAAAGAAGUUCCUGGGCUGCUCAGGAGCCUAUCCCCAUCUCCACUAUGAGGUCAUAUUGUGGUAAGCGACAAAGGAACAAAAACAAUUUCCCCAUAUCAAUGUUCCAGGAGCCCAGUGGUGUGUCCUGUUACUUAGAAGGACAGUGAUCAAUUAGCGUAAGAGUAUUGAAAUGCAUAGUAGGUGGUUUUUCCCAUUCUUAUGGAGGGGCCAGGAACAUGUCCCCCCUCAGCCUCAACCCUCCUUCCCCCAAAAGAGUAGGAAAAGGAGGGUACAGAACAGGAGCUCCUACAUCCCCUCCACCAAUUUGAAAUCUCUACCUUCUCUGUAAAUAGGUGAGAGUUCUGUGGAGCCAACACUGGUAGCAGCCUGCUCGGUCAGGUCUGGAGGGGCACUUGUCUCAAAACCCUUAGGCUUUAUAGAUUUGCUUCUUUGAUAUGACGUGUAUAAAAACACUCUUUGGAGGUCUGUUUCCAAUAGGCCAAGCAGAAUGAAGUGCUGCGGGUGCAGUUUCCAUAGUGGAGAACCAGAGCUGCGAUUGUUCCCAGUGGAGAAUAUUUUCAAGCCCCUUCAUCAGUCGCUUUGAAGAAAGAGGAGAUUCUGAGCUACCUGUGAAGGAGAUGCGUUUGGAGGUCGCGGGAGAAUCUGUCAGCUCCUUCUCUGCUUGGCUGGACGAUGCUGGAAGGAAAAGCAGAAGAUGCGAUACAGCAGCCAGACCAGGCCAGCUCCCAGAGGGUUUGUGUUGGGUGAAAAUCAACAUUCAUUUAUAGCACAGGAUUUUCUUGAAACACCAAAACUCAAGUAGGAUGAGCAUCCGGACUGACUUAUCAAGCACACUGGAAAAGAAGCAAGUGUUCCUUUUUCCCCCAUGAAUUUCUGUCACUACUUUAACAACUGAAUGCUGAGGGAAAAAAAAUAUGGACUAAAAGGCUCUGAGUUGGAUUAAGCUAAAUUCGGUGUAUUCUGACUUCCCCCCAAUCAAGACACAAUCUGCUGGCCUAUGGGGGCAGUCAGGUUGAGAGUGGGUAGGGAGUCUUACCAAAUGGCUGGUCAACCUGAGUACCCAGACACACACUGCUUUCACAGAAGUCCUCAACUAUAUGAGCUCAACUUUAUUUUCCCAGCUCUUGGAAUCACAGCACAGCACAUCACAGGAGACAUGACACAUGUGACCUGAGAAAGGUUCACAUGGAUAUCCGCAUAUAAAUACUUGGGGGGAAAAAUCAAGUUUGAGUUUAGCAACCUGGUUUUGGGGAAAAAGUAAUUGAAGAGUGAAAGAUGCAGGGCACGAAUCCAACGUAUAAUCUAGCCAAUGCUCCAGACACAAGCGUUUAUUCUGAGUAGGUGGUAAGAGGGAAAGUCUCCUCUCUGCUUGCCCAAACCACGCCCCAUUUCACCAAAAAAACAACCAAAACGUUAAUUAAUGAGGAGAGUCACAUGAGACUUAAGAAGCAAACAGUAGGUACAGAAAUGUGGGUGGAAGGAGUUCUCUGAAAUACAGAAAAGGAUCUGGAAGAAUUUGAUGAGAAAACCACUGGGUUAAAGGUUUAACAAGGAUCAGCAGUGCUUCUCCAGCGUAAACACAAAUCCCACCAGGAGUGGAUGUGGUCAUUCCAAAACCUGGUCAGUAUCUAAGGAUGGUUCUCUCACUUGUGAACACAGAACCUCCUUUUUCAGAAUUUUGCUACGAAUGAUUUUUAAAAUCCUGAAAAUGGUCGGGAGAAAUAUAUACCCAUUCUCCUCAUUGAAAAAGAAUGUGACUUGCUAUUGUGGUCCUUGGUUUAGAAAGCCUAAUUUUUACUCUUAAGUGCAAAUGCUGUCUGUAUCACCCAGUCUAGUUACCUAGCUUGUGUUUCUACUUUAGGCUCAGCUUUGAAAUUUGUUCUGAUGUGGAUACCAAGAUGCUCUCAUUAUAGAUGUGCUUUUUAAUAAACAAUUUUAGAAAAUCAAUUUUA